UGGGGAAUAUUGCACAAUGGGCGCAAGCCUGAUGCAGCCAUGCCGCGUGUAUGAAGAAGGCCUUCGGGUUGUAAAGUACUUUCAGCGGGGAGGAAGGGAGUAAAGUUAAUACCUUUGCUCAUUGACGUUACCCGCAGAAGAAGCACCGGCUAACUCCGUGCCAGCAGCCGCGGUAAUACGGAGGGUGCAAGCGUUAAUCGGAAUUACUGGGCGUAAAGCGCACGCAGGCGGUCUGUCAAGUCGGAUGUGAAAUCCCCGGGCUCAACCUGGGAACUGCAUUCGAAACUUGCAGGCUAGAGUCUUGUAGAGGGGGGUAGAAUUCCAGGUGUAGCGGUGAAAUGCGUAGAGAUCUGGAGGAAUACCGGUGGCGAAGGCGGCCCCCUGGACAAAGACUGACGCUCAGGUGCGAAAGCGUGGGGAGCAAACAGG
rnacentral:rRNA from 1 species